rnacentral:rRNA from 1 species
AACACGGAGCUUGCUCUGUGGGAUCAGUGGCGAACGGGUGAGUAACACGUGAGCAACCUGCCCCUGACUCUGGGAUAAGCGCUGGAAACGGCGUCUAAUACUGGAUAUGUGACGUGACCGCAUGGUCUGCGUUUGGAAAGAUUUUUCGGUUGGGGAUGGGCUCGCGGCCUAUCAGCUUGUUGGUGAGGUAAUGGCUCACCAAGGCGUCGACGGGUAGCCGGCCUGAGAGGGUGACCGGCCACACUGGGACUGAGACACGGCCCAGACUCCUACGGGAGGCAGCAGUGGGGAAUAUUGCACAAUGGGCGAAAGCCUGAUGCAGCAACGCCGCGUGAGGGAUGACGGCCUUCGGGUUGUAAACCUCUUUUAGCAGGGAAGAAGCGAAAGUGACGGUACCUGCAGAAAAAGCGCCGGCUAACUACGUGCCAGCAGCCGCGGUAAU